AGUCGACGGUAACAGGAAUUAGCUUGCUAAUUUGCUGACGAGUGGCGCACGGGUGCGUAGCGCGUAUACAAUCUACCUUUUGCUGAGGGAUAGCCCAGAGAAAUUUGGAUUAAUACCUCAUGGUAUUAUUGAUAGGCAUCUAUUAAUAAUUAAAGGUUACGGCAAAAGAUGAGUAUGCGUCCCAUUAGCUAGUUGGCGAGGUAACGGCUCACCAAGGCAACGAUGGGUAGGGGUCCUGAGAGGGAGAUCCCCCACACUGGUACUGAGACACGGACCAGACUCCUACGGGAGGCAGCAGUGAGGAAUAUUGGACAAUGGGCGAGAGCCUGAUCCAGCCAUGCCGCGUGCAGGAAGACUGCCCUAUGGGUUGUAAACUGCUUUUAUACAGGAAGAAUAAGCCUUACGUGUAAGGUGAUGACGGUACUGUAAGAAUAAGGACCGGCUAACUCCGUGCCAGCAGCCGCGGUAAUACGGAGGGUCCGAGCGUUAUCCGGAAUUAUUGGGUUUAAAGGGUCCGUAGGCGGAUGAUUAAGUCAGGGGUGAAAGUUUGCAGCUCAACUGUAAAAUUGCCUUUGAUACUGGUUAUCUUGAGUUGUAUUGAAGUAGGCGGAAUAUGUAGUGUAGCGGUGAAAUGCAUAGAUAUUACAUAGAACACCAAUUGCGAAGGCAGCUUACUAAGUACUAACUGACGCUGAUGGACGAAAGCGUGGGUAGCGAACAGGAUUAGAUACCCUGGUAGUCCACGCCGUAAACGAUGGAUACUAGCUGUUCGGGACCUUGAGUUCUGAGCGGCUAAGCGAAAGUGAUAAGUAUCCCACCUGGGGAGUA
rnacentral:rRNA from 1 species